rnacentral:rRNA from 1 species
UACAGAGGGUGCAAGCGUUGUUCGGAAUUAUUGGGCGUAAAGAGCGUGUAGGCGGCCAGAUAGGUCUGUUGUGAAAACUCGAGGCUCAACCUCGAGACGCCGAUGGAAACCAUCUGGCUAGAGUCCGGAAGAGGAGAGUGGAAUUCCUGGUGUAGCGGUGAAAUGCGCAGAUAUCAGGAAGAACACCCGUGGCUAAGGCGGCUCUCUAGUACGGUACUGACGCUGAGACGCGAAAGCGUGGGGAGCGAACAGG